rnacentral:rRNA from 1 species
AUAGGAAGGAACUCGGCAAACAUGACACUUCGCCUGUCCUUACCAAAAACAUCGCCUCUUGCAAUUAAAAGGGGAUAGAGGUCCUGCCUGCCCAGUGGACAAUUAAGUUUAACGGCCGCGGUAUUAUGAUGACCGUGCCAAAGGUAGCGUAAUCACUUGUCUUUUAAAUAAAGACCAGUAUGAAUGGCAAGACGACGAAAGUUCAACUGUCUCCCUAAAUUAAUCGAUGAAAUUGAUUUCUCCGUGCAGAAGCGGAGAUAAAAUUAUAAGACGAGAAGACCCUAUGGAGCUUUAAACAUAUAAUCAAUUGUAUUCCACCAUAAAAUCCGAAAGAUAAAAUAUAAAAUAAAACAAUAUGAUUAAAAUUUUAGGUUGGGGCGACCACGGAGAAAAACAAAACCUCCGAGAUGAAAAGAAUAUCUUAAUUUAAGAACCACAAUUCCAAAAAAUAAAAUAUUUAACAUAAUUGAUCAUAUUUUGAUCAACGAACCAAGUUGUUACCCUAGGGAUAACAGCGCAAUCCUCUCCAAGAGUCCCUAUCGACGAGUGGGUUUACGACCUCGAUGUUGGAUCAGGACACCCCGAUGGUGCAGCCGCUAUUAAAGGUUCGUUUGUUCAACGAUUAAAGUCCUACGUGAUCUGGUUUCGACCGGAGUAAUCCGGGUCAGUUUUUAUCUAUAAAAAAUUUUUCUAGUA